rfam:TPA: Bos taurus chromosome 23, whole genome shotgun sequence.
UCCCUGGUGGCUCAGAUGGUAAAGCGGCUGCCUGCAAUGCAGGAGACCCAGGUUCAAUCCCUGGGUUGGGAA